AGGGCACCACCAGGAGGGGAGCCUGCGGCUUAAUUUGACUCAACACGGGAAAACUCACCCGGCCCGGACACUGGAAGGAUUGACAGAUUGAGAGCUCUUUCUUGAUUCAGUGGGUGGUGGUGCAUGGCCGUUCUUAGUUGGUGGAGUGAUUUGUCUGGUUAAUUCCGAUAACGAACGAGACUCUAGCCUACUAAAUAGAUCGUCGGCUUACAAACGCCGGCGAGACUUCUUAGAGGGACAGGCGGUGAUUCAACCGCACGAAACAGAGCAAUAACAGGUCUGUGAUGCCCUUAGAUGUCCGGGGCCGCACGCGCGCUACACUGAAGUGAUCAGCGUGCCUUUUCAACCUACUCUGUCAAGAGUGGGGAACCCAAUGAACCUUCUUCGUGAUUGGGAUAGGGGAUUGUAAUUAUUCCCCUUGAACGAGGAAUUCCCAGUAAGCGCGAGUCAUAAGCUCGCGUCGAUUACGUCCCUGCCCUUUGUACACGCCGCCCGUCGCUACUACCGAUUGAAUGUUUU
rnacentral:rRNA from 1 species